AGGCCUUGUUCACCGAAACUUGGUCUCCCCAUGUCGCUCUCUCUCUCAAAUUCUGGCUGAGUCUCCAUCUGGAGCGCGGAACCCGCCAUGCUUGCUAAUUAUGCCUGGGCUUCUAAGAUCCGACCGGGGAGGCCUUAGUGUCUCCUCUCCUUCGGGAGAAUGGAAGGACGCCUGCGGCCUACACUUCCCAAUAAGUACAGCUAAAAAUCCUGGACAGCAUAUCGAAAGCAAACAGAGAAGACUUUGAAAGACAGAGAGAAAAGAAGAAAGACUAAGGACUUGGCAGAGUCACUGGCAGAGUUCCUUUCUGUUACUGCUGUUGCUGUUGUUGAUUAAUAUCCCCUGGCCUGGGUGCUGCAGAAGAAAACAUGGAAACACCAAUGUAAUGAUGAUUAGUUGCUCAAUCGUGUCCAACUCUUUGUCACCCCAAGGAUUGUAAACCACCAGGCUCCUCUGUCCAUGGGAUUCUCCAGGCAGGAAUACCGGAGUGGGUAACCAUUCCCUUCUCCAGGGUAUCUUUCCAACCCAGGGAUCGAACUUGGGUCUCCUGCACUGUAGGCAGAUUAUUUACCAUCUGAGCAACCAGGGAAGCCCUUACUUUACCACUAGCGCCACUGAAACACCAAUGUGUAUAACAAAAAAUGUUUCAAGAAAAACUGACUCUCUCUAGCCAAAGGACCAGGAAGGUGGAAGAUGAGCAAGAAGGAAAUCUUUUAGACACUAACAACCUUAAUGCAACCCACUAAAACCCAGAAUAAAUAGUUGCCAUAUGUUCUUCUUCCAAGGCUGAGGAGGCUAGACUUCACCGUCGCCCAGCUGUAAUGACUCUCCCCACCUCCUCCCACUGCCCGCGGUAUCAGUAGAGAACAUGGGGACGUGGACUUCAGUGCCCACCUGGGAGUAAUAGGAAAGUUCCACUUCUCCCCAACUGGCCUGGUGUUAGAACAUCUGCUAAAUCAGAGGUUUAAAUGAGUCUCAUGACAAUACUCAGAAUGUCCAGAAUACUAUCAGAAUCACUCAUCCUAAGGAUCAGUAAAAUUGUAAUAUAUGUGUGUGUGUUAAUCGCUCAGCUGUGUCCAACUCUUUGUGACCCCAUGGACUGUAGCUCACUAGACUCCUCUGUCCUGGGAAUUCUCCAGGCAAGAAUACUGAAGUGGGUUGCUGUUUUUCGGUCUGCUGGCUGGAAAAAGAAGAUUUCUCUUUGAGUUUUUCUUAUUUGCUGUGCACUGGGCCACACUUGGGUCAAAGUAGGGUGACAAGGGGAGGAAAAAUUUUUAAAAAUUCACUCUUAUACUGAUUCUUUGAUUCUGCUUCCCAAUCUCCUUGCUACUUUUUAAUUUUCAAAGCUCUCCGGUGGGUGUGUCUUGUGUCUUGUCCAGAGUUGAAAUUGGGCUAUGGUAGAUGGACACCAUCCUGGCCAGAGUGGAAAUCUAAACACAUUUUGAAGCUAAGUUGCUAGUCCACCUGCCCUAGGUUUGGAGUUGUGGAAACUCUGUGACAAAUUACUUGGGGCAAAUCUUACCUAUGAAAUUUGGACUCUAAAAUUUUGAUUUUUUUUUUUUUUUGGUCUAUGUCUGUUUUGCAAAUAAGAUCAUCUAUAUGUGAAAUCUAAAAUUUAGACUUUUGAGGAAUUGGUAAAAUGCAUUGCGAAGGAGAGGAAAAAUAAGGAAUAAAUGGCCAGAAAUACAGUCCUUUGAUUACAGCAAACUGCUUUCAUGAAAAUUAAAUC
ensembl:lncRNA